rnacentral:lncRNA from 1 species
CUCUUUCAAAAAUAAUACAGAAGAUACCCAUGUAUCAAUUUCCUUAUUUUCUUUGCUCAAUAAUCCAAAUGCAAGAAAAUAUGUCCUCCUUAUAUUUGUCUUAAAUAGGUCUCGCACCACUAAAUCCAAACGGAUGGUACACAUACUCCAAUAGGAACUUCGAGUUAAUCAACUGUUGAGACCCCCCUUCUCAUUGAAAACCCAAGAUUAGCAUGAAACAUGAAGACAGUACAUGAACUUAUACUUGGCAUGUUUAAAUUUGAGAAUAAAAACAAAUGCAUGAAACGGACCAAAGAGGUAAAUAGCAAUUCUCCAGGGUAGAAACAGAACCUAAUAGGCUUAAGGGUCUACCUUCAUGGUGGCAAGAAAGAAAACGUUCACGUUCCAUCAACUCCAUCUGGGAAAAGGAGUUAUUGUCACCACAAUAUUCUUACAAAAUACAAAAAAUCUACUAGUCUACUAAGAACUACAAAUUCUAGAAAUGAUAAAUUGCUUCUCUGGAGAUCAUUGAAUACUUGUACCCUAAAAUAAAGAGGGAGGAGCACACCCAUGAAAGACAUGCUUUUCUAAGGUAGAUAAUGACGUACUAGAGAUGAAGAAAUAUUAGCCCAAGUGAACCCUAAAGGUCAUAAAAGUGUGACACUGACCGUCAAUCUAGCCUCCCAACAACACCCUUGAAGAGUUGCUACUGAGGUAGUUGAAGGUUUAGCGACGUAUCGCAACAAGGAACUUCUUUUAUUUUAUUUUAUUUGAGAAAUAAAGCAACAGGGAGCUCAUAUCUAUCUGUUUUCCAACUCUUACACCUUAGUCAAUCAGCUCAAAAGGAGCCAAAUCAAUGAAGGUGAUACUUUUCUAGUUACAAAUUUGCCAGCUUCUUAACAAGAUGAAAAACCAUAACAUAAAAUCAUAUCUCAAUGAAUUUUUCCCCCCAUUUUUAAUCAUAUUGGAGUUCCUUGAUCUUCCUUCACAAAAGUGGCUAGCUUCUUUCUUUAAACUACAUCAUUACUGUUUUGUUCUCGCACACAUUGCAGUGGCUUAGGUCACUGUGGUACUUGUUUCAUAGAUUUAUUAUCUUGGAAAAUUUUCCGACUGUUCAUCUAUGUGUUGGUUUCUCUAAUGAUGAUGUACAUGUUUUGUUAUGACGGUGGUGUCGAGGCUUACUUGGUAAGCACCUCAACUAUUCCACCGGUUAUCUGCAACCUCUUACUAGCACAGAUACCAAGUAACUCUACCCACCAACUCUUACGUAGAUAGGAAGAAAUCAUCUAAUGUCUUUUUUUCCUCCUCUAGGACUUGAACCUGUGACUCAUGGUUCUUCUCCCACUUUAUUAGCUACUAGGCCACACACUUAGGUAGACAAGAGGGGCUUGGUCUGAUGGUAACCAACCCUC